rnacentral:lncRNA from 1 species
UUUCCCUGUCCUCCUUCCCACAUCGAUUUAAAAAAUUAGAUGCAAAUGCAAAAUCCUUAAAUUAUAGAUUUAUGAUAAAUUUAAAUUCUGGUAGAAUCAAGGUUUUAUAACAUUUAAAGUGUCUGACACUAAGUGUAUAUAAUCUUUUAAGAAACGUCUUCUUAACAGCGCAUGGUAUUCUGUGACUGUUCGUGUACCAUGAAUAUUCUUAUUGGGUUCUAGAGUUAGUUACUGACUCUUGAAGAUGGGCAUCUAAUGGUCCUCCUGUGGAAGUGGAGAGCAGCUCUCCACUGUUUGAUAACAUUUAAAGCCAAGGGUGAACCACUCAAGAAACAUUUGGUGGUUAUAAUAUUUUUUUGUUGUUGUUAAGUACCAUCAAUAAAACUGAAAAAUCUCUUAAGUACCUGACUCCUGCAGUGAUACAACUGCAGUGAUAAAACUUUUAGCUUUUUACAUCAGGGGUAUUAGGUAUUUUCUCACAGAAAUAGCCUUUUGAGGUGAAAUUCACAUAACAUACAAUUAACCAUUGUAAAAUGAACAAUUCAGUGGCGUGUAAGAGUAUGUUUACAAUGUUGAGCAACCAUCACCUCUGUCUAGUUGCAAAAUGUUUUCAUCACUCCAAAAGAAACUCCUUUAUUCAUCAUAGCCCAAAGUUGGAAGUAUUUUCUUGAUUGGGCUCUUGAUUACAUGGAUGCAUCUGAGUCAUUGAAUUGAAGCCUAAGAUGUGCUUAAUUUCACUGUGUGUAAGUUUCACCUCAGUUAACAAGAGAGAACAGAACAAACCAAAAAUCUUAAUUCUUUUGAAAAAAAGACUUUCUGGCUGCUUUAUUAAAGAAGCCAGGGGAACAAGGUUAAAAGGAAAUCAGUUAGCAGUGACCAAGGCAAGAGAUGAUGGUGGCUUGGCUGAAGAUGGUGACAGUGGAGGUGGUAAGGUGAUCAGAUUCUGGAUAUAUUUUGAAGGUUGAGCUAAUUUGGUCAGCUGAUGGGCAUAAUGGAUGUGAGGGAAAGAAAGUUGGAAAGGAUGAUGUGAAGAUUUUUAAUGGGAUGGAAUAGGUGUUUAAUGAACAGCCAUUUAACAACAUCAGGGUAAUUUCAUCUUGUGUAUCAUUCUCUACAACAGGGUUAUACUCUAGGACAGUAGAUACCCUUAGUACUCUACUGUCCUAGAGUAUAACCCUGUUGUAAAGAAUGAUACACAAGACAAACUUACCCUGAUGUUGUUAAAUAUAUGUUAGAUGACCAGUUGCUUUGAUUUCUUUGCUCAAUAAACAUUGGAUUACAGCUGGUUUGCUGUGUGGCAUGCCUACAUGGAGGGAACACACUGAGCCAAUGAUUUCAUCAUCUGGGUCCCUUUGGUUUAUAUCAGUUUCCAACAUGACUUGUUUGUGGGGCUUGUGGGAGGGGCACAUACAUCGGCCCCAGGAUUCU